CACCCACCAAUGAAAAGUUUGUGCGCUUUCCCAAAUUCUCUACUAUCAGUUCCUCUCCAUUCAUCAGAAGGAGCAAAAAUGAUCCUGUGGCUUAACUUGGUCUCUUUACUAGCUGUCUUUAGAGGUGUCCGAUCUCAGGUCCUAUUGGUGGAGUCUGGAGGGGAUGUGAGAAGACCUGGAGGAUCCCUCCGUCUCACCUGCCAAGCCUCUGGAUUCACCUUCAGCAGCUAUGCUAUGAACUGGGUGAGACAGUCUCCUGGAAAAGGACUGGAAUGGAUGGCAUACAUAAGCUCCAGUUCUGGUACUAUUUACUACUCAGACACAGUGAAGGGCCGCUUCACCAUCUCCAGGGACAAUGCCAAAAGCCAGCUGUAUCUGCAAAUGAACAGCCUCAAAGCUGAAGACACGGCCGUCUAUUACUGUGCUAGAUACACAGUGAGAGGAAGUGAAUCUGAAGCCAGACAAGAACCUUCUCUCCCUCAGAGCAGAUCUCCAACUGGAUUCAGUCACAGAAAGUUGAAUUUGAGUCUUUGAACUGAGCAGAAGGUGAUCAAUCUACAUCACAGCAAUAGACAUAUUCCAUGGACCUGUAGAACAUUUUAAGUCUUAAAAAACAAAUUAGACCCAUAUAAAUUAGGGAAAAUAGAACCCCAAAGUAAUAUUCUCUUCCUGAAUUGAAGGUGAAAGAACCUCUGCAUUUACAGUUACAACUAAUCAGUAAUGGUUCAUAGAGCUAACAAUAACCAGUUGUGAGCUGGGUGUGACAGGCUCCAAGGAAUGGAAGAGAAUGAAUUGUAUGAUGCCAGUAAACAAGUCUAUGCGGAAUCCAUGAAAGGGUGCUUUGCCACCUCUAGAGACAAAUCCAAUUACCUUCUGUUUUUUUUUUUCAAAUGGACAUCACAAGGAGGCGCAAAACAUGUAAUAAUUUUGACCAUGACUGAAAUAAAAUCUGUGGUUUCAGCUGUGAACAUGACUGCUUCUCCAGCUGCUUCCUGGAGAAUUAAAAUAGUUUCUUGAAGGAAAAAAAACGAUUCCUUGGGAAAUUAAUUCCCCAAGAGUUCUCAAAGUUUUUUAAAUAUCUUACAUAAAAAGCUUCAGUAUGUACACCCCAAAAAAAGCCCUCAUAUCUCAUUUACUGAUUUCAUGAAUGCUGGUUGAUGAAUAAAAUGAAAGGUUAUUGUUGUUUCACUGACUUUAGGCAGUUAUAGUAUUAAAACCAGAAUCAUACACAUGUACAGUUAGUCCUCAUGUUAUGACUGUAAUUGAGCCUAGUAAAUCAUGAUGGUCAUAAAGCAGGACAUCAUACAAUUGGACCUAAAUUUACUACCUUUAUUGCAGUGAACACGGCAGUUAUUAAACGAGCCCAUUUUUCCCAUUGGGCAAUUUUUCCACAAUCCAGAAGCCAAAGUAGUUUCCAGAAAUAAAAAAGAUCAUAUUCCUUUCACCA